GGGCGAUUAGCUCAGCUGGCAGAGCGCCUCGUUUACACCGAGGAAGUCGGCGGUUCGAGCCCGUCAUCGCCCACCA
rnacentral:tRNA from 1 species